UACGGAGGAUCCGAGCGUUAUCCGGAUUCAUUGGGUUUAAAGGGUGCGUAGGUUGUUUUAUAAGUUAGCGGUGAAAUACCGAUGCUCAACAUCGGGGCUGCCGCUAAUACUGUAGGACUAGAGAUCGGAUGCAGCAGGCGGAAUGCGUGGUGUAGCGGUGAAAUGCAUAGAUAUCACGCAGAACCCCGAUUGCGAAGGCAGCAUACCGGUGCACAACUGACGCUCAGGCACGAAAGCGUGGGUAUCGAACAGG
rnacentral:rRNA from 1 species